CCCCUUGUUAGGCCCCUACCUCCCCAGGAACCCCACCCUCCCCAGGCCCCAUCCUUACCAGGGACCCCAUCCUUGCCAGGGACCCUCAACCUUCAAAAGGUCCCAUCCUCACCCUGGAUUCCCCAACCAGGCCCAAACCUCACCUGGAACACUAUGGUCCUACCCUUGCCAGACCCCACCUUUCCCUCCCUGGGAUCCCAGCACCUUCAUAAGACCCUACCUUUGCCAGGCUCCACCCUUGCUAGGGACCGCACCCUCUCCAGGCCUGACCUCUGAUAUCUGGGACAGGUGCAUAGGGGUGGAACAGAGCAAGUGAGAUCACGUGGUCCACAGCCUGGGUGGCCAAGGAGCCAGCUUGAUGAUCCCACUCAGCAUUGCCCCCACUAGAAUCUACUGAGCUAUGGAAAAGUCCUGUGUUGUGAAGGAAGACGAUGCCAGGACAGAGCCUAAAAGUUCUGUGUCUUCUGCCCUUCCGUAUAUCUUCCUCCAUGAUGCCCCCAGCCCCACCUGCCACAGAUGCACCCCCCCAUCUCAGCUUCUCCUAUUUCCACUCCCGGGAAGGAAAGUCAACACCCGACAUAGGGGUCGCCUGAUGUACAGCUGGUCUGAACUAGUGCUCAGCACGUCAGGGUCAGGAAACUUCUGUGGGUGGUCUGUGCUGGAGGCAGGCACUAUCCAUGGUGAUGGACCUGAUGUUGGGAUUUUAGCUUCCCAGGCACCCCGCCCCCCAAAUGUGCUGGAAGUGUGGCCACACUCACCGCAGAUGAAGGACAAGAUAUUGAGGCCAAGUGUGACAAGACGAUGAAGACAGGCUUGACCUGCACAGAAAGACUGACGUUCACAAGGUGGAAGACAGGAAGAACAACCACAUUGGUACAUGGUGCAGCAUUACAGCGAGCCCUUCACUGACAUCAGGAAUGACUGCAGUGACAUGCUCAGAAAUCUGGCCCUCAUCAACUCCCUCAAGACACUGACCUGGUAGUGUGCCUGACCUCAGUGUGGGGCUGCAGACCCCAGCUCUCAUUGUCCCCCCGACCUAACAUCUCUUUCUAUAAUCCUUAACAAUGCCCCUCUGCUACUCUCCACUGAAAUCCAAAAGUAAUAAAAUCUGAAUCCAUAAUUAAAAACAGUCA